CUACGGGUGGCUGCAGUGAGGAAUAUUGCACAAUGGGGGGAACCCUGAUGCAGCAACGCCGCGUGGAGGAUGACGCAUUUCGGUGUGUAAACUCCUUUUAUAUGUCAAGAAAAUGACGGUAGCAUAUGAAUAAGCGCCGGCUAACUCCGUGCCAGCAGCCGCGGUAAUACGGAGGGCGCAAGCGUUACUCGGAAUCACUGGGCGUAAAGGACGCGUAGGCGGGUUGAAAAGUCAGGUGUGAAAGCCUACAGCUUAACUGUAGAACUGCACUUGAAACUCUCAACCUAGAGUAUGGGAGGGGCAGAUGGAAUUAGUGGUGUAGGGGUAAAAUCCGUAGAUAUCACUAGGAAUACCUAAAGCGAAGGCGAUCUGCCGGAACAUUACUGACGCUAAGGCGUGAAAGCGUGGGGAGCAAACAGGAUUAGAUACCCGCGUAGUC
rnacentral:rRNA from 1 species